UACAGGGGUCCCAAGCGUUGUUCGGAUUCAUUGGGCGUAAAGGGUGCGUAGGUGGCGCCGUAAGUCGGGUGUGAAAUUUCGGAGCUUAACUCCGAAACUGCAUUCGAUACUGCGGUGCUUGAGGACUGGAGAGGAGACUGGAAUUCAUGGUGUAGCAGUGAAAUGCGUAGAGAUCAUGAGGAAGACCAGUGGCGAAGGCGGGUCUCUGGACAGUUCCUGACACUGAGGCACGAAGGCCAGGGGAGCAAACGGG
rnacentral:rRNA from 1 species